rnacentral:rRNA from 1 species
AUGUCCGGCAGUGCCCGGUGCCUCCUUCAGCGUCUGGCGUGGCUCCCCUUCCUGUUGUUGCUGCUCCGACCUAUGCUCGACUGCCUCUUCUCCGGCGGCUUGGGCUUGCUCAAAAUUUGGCCAGGGCAAAAUCCAUGCAUCUUAUGCUGGCAGCGGCGACACCCGCGGGUGUCAUCCCCUUAUUGGAGGCGCCGCCAUGUCCAUUAUCUAUGCCCCUCUUCGAGCAUCAGGGAAAACCUAGGUCUUGUUUUUCAAAUCGGACGACGACGGCGUCUUGGUGUCGUUCUCCUUUGUGAAGGUGUUCUCUUGUUUUGCUCGCAAUGUCCUUGGUGUUGGACUUGGAGAUGUUGGUCGUCUAAUUGGUUAGAUCACUUCUCUGGUCUAUGA